rnacentral:lncRNA from 1 species
AAAAAACAUUAUUUAAAAAAUACAAGCUAUUGAUGAAAAGCUAUGAAAACAAAUACUCAUUUAUCAACAAAAUUUCUUGUUAUCCUAAUUUCUAAAUCACAAUCUCAACUCUACAAUAGUUCUCAACAAAACUGAAAACUUUCCAAAAUUAGCAGUUUUAAAAUUUUAUUUAAAAAAUACAAACCUACUGAUGAAAAAUUCUGAAAGAAUACUCAUUUACCAACAAACAUUCUUGUUAUCCUAAUUUCUAAAUGAUAAUUCUAAAUCUAUAAUAGUUCUAUAUAAAAAUGAGAACUUUCCAAAAAUAUCAGUUUUUAAAAAUAUAACCUAUUGAUGAAAAAUUAUGAAAGAAUUCUCAUCUAAGUAUAAAAAUUCAUGUAC